rnacentral:sRNA from 1 species
GCUAGGCACAGUGGCACAUGCCUGUGAUCCCAGCAGCUCGGGAGGCUGAGGCAGGAGGAUCAUGAGUUCAAAGCCAGCCUCAGCAAAAGCAAGGUGCUAAGCAACUCAGUGAGACCCUGUCUCUA